rnacentral:rRNA from 1 species
GUGGGGAAUAUUGGACAAUGGGGGCAACCCUGAUCCAGCAAUGCCGCGUGAGUGAUGAAGGCCUUCGGGUUGUAAAGCUCUUUUGGCGGGGACGAUGAUGACGGUACCCGCAGAAUAAGCCCCGGCUAACUUCGUGCCAGCAGCCGCGGUAAUACGAAGGGGGCUAGCGUUGUUCGGAAUUACUGGGCGUAAAGGGCGCGUAGGCGGUCCUGAUCGUCGGAUGUGAAAGGCCUGGGCUCAACCUGGGAAUGGCAUCCGAUACGGCGGGACUGGAGUGUGGGAGAGGUUGGUGGAAUUCCCAGUGUAGAGGUGAAAUUCGUAGAUAUUGGGAAGAACACCGGUGGCGAAGGCGGCCAACUGGACCACAACUGACGCUGAGGCGCGAAAGCGUGGGGAGCAAACAGGAUUAGAAACCCGGGUAGUCC